rnacentral:rRNA from 1 species
GUCUGGGAAACUGCCUGAUGGAGGGGGAUAACUACUGGAAACGGUAGCUAAUACCGCAUAACGUCGCAAGACCAAANAGGGGGACCUUCGGGCCUCUUGCCAUCGGAUGUGCCCAGAUGGGAUUAGCUAGUAGGUGGGGUAACGGCUCACCUAGGCGACGAUCCCUAGCUGGUCUGAGAGGAUGACCAGCCACACUGGAACUGAGACACGGUCCAGACUCCUACGGGAGGCAGCAUG